GACGAACGCUGGCGGCGUGCUUAACACAUGCAAGUCGAACGAUGAAACCUAGCUUGCUAGGUCGAUUAGUGGCGAACGGGUGAGUAACACGUGACUAACCUGCCCCUUUCUCUGGGAUAACGCUCCGAAAGGAGUGCUAAUACCGGAUACUCACACCGAGGCACAUGCCUUGGUGUGGAAAGUUUUUCGGAAAGGGAUGGAGUCGCGGCCUAUCAGCUUGUUGGUGAGGUAACGGCUCACCAAGGCGACGACGGGUAGCCGGCCUGAGAGGGGGACCGGCCACACUGGGACUGAGACACGGCCCGGACUCCUACGGGAGGCAGCAGGGGGGAAUAUUGCACAAUGGGCGCAAGCCUGAUGCAGCGACGCCGCGUGAGGGAUGAAGGUCUUCGGAUUGUAAACCUCUUUCAGUAGGGACGAAGCGAAAGUGACGGUACCUAAAGAAGAAGCACCGGCUAACUACGUGCCAGCAGCCGCCGUAA
rnacentral:rRNA from 1 species